rnacentral:rRNA from 1 species
GAUGAACGCUGGCGGCGUGCCUAAUACAUGCAAGUCGAGCGAACAGACGAGGAGCUUGCUCCUCUGACGUUAGCGGCGGACGGGUGAGUAACACGUGGAUAAUCUACCUAUAAGACUGGGAUAACUUCGGGAAACCGGAGCUAAUACCGGAUAAUAUAUUGAACCGCAUGGUUCAAUAGUGAAAGACGGUUUUGCUGUCACUUAUAGAUGGAUCCGCGCCGCAUUAGCUAGUUGGUAAGGUAACGGCUUACCAAGGCAACGAUGCGUAGCCGACCUGAGAGGGUGAUCGGCCACACUGGAACUGAGACACGGUCCAGACUCCUACGGGAGGCAGCAGUAGGGAAUCUUCCGCAAAGGGCGAAAGCCUGACGGAGCAACGCCGCGUGAGUGAUGAAGGUCUUCGGAUCGUAAAACUCUGUUAUUAGGGAAGAACAAAUGUGUAAGUAACUAUGCACGUCUUGACGGUACCUAAUCAGAAAGCCACGGCUAACUACGUG